CGGACGGGUGAGUAACGCGUAAGAACUUGCCCUUUAGACUGGGAUAACAGAGGGAAACUUCUGAUAAUACUGGAUAAGUUAGUAUAUCGCAUGAUAUGCAAAUGAAAGCUACGGCACUAAAGGAGAGCUUUGCGUCCUAUUAGCUAGUUGGUAAGGUAAGAGCUUACCAAGGCGAUGAUAGGUAGCCGGCCUGAGAGGGUGGACGGCCACAAGGGGACUGAGAUACGGCCCUUACUCCUACGGGAGGCAGCAGUG
rnacentral:rRNA from 1 species